UGUCGGCGCAGCCCCUCUUGGGCACGAAA
rnacentral:sRNA from 1 species